UUUCCGGUUGAUCCUGCCGGACCUGACUGCUAUCGGAUUGAUACUAAGCCAUGCGAGUCUUUGUAGUAAUACAAGGCAGACGGCUCAGUAACACGUAGUCAACCUACCCUAUGGACGAGAAUAAUCUCGGGAAACUGAGCAUAAUUCUUGAUAGAUCAUAAUGCCUGGAAUGGUUUAUGGUUAAAAUGAUUCGUCGCCAUAGGAUGGGACUGCGGCCUAUCAGCUUGUUGGUGAGGUAAUGGCCCACCAAGGCGAUUACAGGUACGGGCUCUGAGAGGAGAAGCCCGGAGAUGGGUACUGAGACACGGACCCAGGCCCUAUGGGGCGCAGCAGGCGAGAAAACUUUGCAAUGUGCGAAAGCACGACAAGGUUAAUCCGAGUGAUUUCUGCUAAAGAAAUCUUUUGCCAGUCGUAAAACCACUGGUGAAUAAGGGGUGGGCAAGUUCUGGUGUCAGCCGCCGCGGUAAAACCAGCACCUCAAGUGGUCAGGAUGAUUAUUGGGCCUAAAGCAUCCGUAGCCGGCUUUGUAAGUUUUCGGUUAAAUCCAUGUGCUUAACGCAUGGGCUGCCGAAAAUACUGCAUGGCUAGGGAGUGGGAGAGGUAGACGGUACUCAGUAGGAAGGGGUAAAAUCCUUUGAUCUAUUGAUGACCACCUGUGGCGAAGGCGGUCUACCAGAACACGUUCGACGGUGAGGGAUGAAAGCUGGGGGAGCAAACCGGAUUAGAUACCCGGGUAGUCCCAGCUGUAAACGAUGCAGACUCGAUGAUGCAUUGGCAUAAUAGCCAUUGCAGUGUCGCAGGGAAGCCGUUAAGUCUGCCGCCUGGGAAGUACGUACGCAAGUAUGAAACUUAAAGGAAUUGGCGGGGGAGCACCACAAGGGGUGAAGCCUGCGGUUCAAUUGGAUUCAACGCCGGG
rnacentral:rRNA from 1 species